UGGGGUCCCAUUCAAAAAGUUCCACACACCGUCCUCGCACAAAACCCAUCAUAAAAACCGAACCGGAGCGGACCGGUAUUUCCCCUAUAAAUAUGCCUGUUGUGCAGCAUGCAUUGUUUCAAAAACUCAAAGCUAUUAAAACCUCACAGUACAAUUUUUGUACCCAAACUAUUUUUUUGAUCACCUAUUUGUACUGAAACUCUACUCGAAUCGCACGGUAAUGGCGUUGAGAAAGAAGAUCUCAUCAACUUCACCCAUGAAGAGUCUCUGUAUUGUGUUUGCGGUCCUGUUACUGAUGAUGGGAACCCAAUUCCGUGGCGUCCAUUGCCGCGCUCUACGAGAACGAAAAAGCGUGACAAGUCCUGCAGAACAAGUCAAGGCGGAGGAGUCGAUGGCUGCGGCUAAGUUCGACGUCCCCUCCCGAAACUCGAGCAUUGGUUCUUCUUCAUCGGUCCGGGGCUUCAGUUUCAAGUUGGCAUCUGGGCCUAGCAAAAAAGGUCCUGGGAAUUGACAGACAACUCAACUCCAUACAACUAUAUAUACUAGCUACUAGCUAGUCACUCUGUUCGUUCUUUCAUUUUUUUCCCCUCAUACUUAUAAAUUUGUAGUUCUAAUAUUUGUAUUUAUGUUACCUCUGAGGUUCCAUAGAAUUAAUAUUUGUAGUUAUUUCUUCUUUCGUUAGUAUUUGUAUAUGAGGAGCCAUAGAAUUUGAGGUUCCAUAGAAUUAAAUUUGUAGUUCUAAUAUUUGUAUUUAUGUCACCCCUGUUUCUUUUUA